rnacentral:tRNA from 1 species
GUUGCUGUAGCUUAAAAUAAAGCAUAGCAUUGAAAAUGCUAAAAUGGCCACCACCCAUCAACA